rnacentral:rRNA from 1 species
GACGAACGCUGGCGGCGUGCUUAACACAUGCAAGUCGAACGGUGAAGCCCAGCUUGCUGGGUGGAUCAGUGGCGAACGGGUGAGUAACACGUGAGUAACCUGCCCUUCACUUCGGGAUAACUCCGGGAAACCGGGGCUAAUACUGGAUACGACCAGUCACCGCAUGGUGUGCUGGUGGAAAGCUUUAGUGGUGGAGGAUGGACUCGCGGCCUAUCAGCUUGUUGGUGAGGUAGUGGCUCACCAAGGCGACGACGGGUAGCCGGCCUGAGAGGGCGACCGGCCACACUGGGACUGAGACACGGCCCAGACUCCUACGGGAGGCAGCAGUGGGGAAUAUUGCACAAUGGGCGAAAGCCUGAUGCAGCGACGCCGCGUGAGGGAUGAAGGCCUUCGGGUUGUAAACCUCUUUCAGCAGGGAAGAAGCGAAAGUGACGGUACCUGCAGAAGAAGCACCGGCUAACUACGUGCCAGCCGCCGCAGUAAGAC